rnacentral:rRNA from 1 species
GCCCAGACUCCUACGGGAGGCAGCAGUGGGGAAUAUUGCACAAUGGGGGAAACCCUGAUGCAGCGACGCCGCGUGAGCGAUGAAGUAUUUCGGUAUGUAAAGCUCUAUCAGCAGGGAAGAAGAUGACGGUACCUGACUAAGAAGCCCCGGCUAACUACGUGCCAGCAGCCGCGGUAAUACGUAGGGGGCAAGCGUUAUCCGGAUUUACUGGGUGUAAAGGGAGCGUAGACGGCGAUGCAAGCCAGAUGUGAAAGCCCGGGGCUCAACCCCGGGACUGCAUUUAGAACUGUGUGGCUGGAGUGUCGGAGAGGCAGGCGGAAUUCCUAGUGUAGCGGUGAAAUGCGUAGAUAUUAGGAGGAACACCAGUGGCGAAGGCGGCCUGCUGGACGAUGACUGACGUUGAGGCUCGAAAGCGUGGGGAGCAAACAGGAUUAGAUACCCGCGUA